AAAACAGUGCACGGGCAGUAACAGCGCAAGUGAGGAGCAAUCCGAUGCCUGUUUUUUGCUAGUUGGUGAGUCGUACAUUCUGGAUGAAAUUAGUGACAUACUAAUGGAAUUUGCUAGAAAACUUUUAACUGACCGCUCCUCGUGGACUUCGGU
rnacentral:snRNA from 1 species